rnacentral:rRNA from 1 species
CUUUGUUGCCAGCGGUCCGGCCGGGAACUCAAAGGAGACUGCCAGUGAUAAACUGGAGGAAGGUGGGGAUGACGUCAAGUCAUCAUGGCCCUUACGACCAGGGCUACACACGUGCUACAAUGGCGCAUACAAAGAGAAGCGACCUCGCGAGAGCAAGCGGACCUCAUAAAGUGCGUCGUAGUCCGGAUUGGAGUCUGCAACUCGACUCCAUGAAGUCGGAAUCGCUAGUAAUCGUGGAUCAGAAUGCCACGGUGAAUACGUUCCCGGGCCUUGUACACACCGCCCGUCACACCAUGGGAGUGGGUUGCAAAAGAAGUAGGUAGCUUAACCUUCGGGAGGGCGCUUACCACUUUGUGAUUCAUGACUGGGGUGAAGUCGUAACAAGGUAACCGUAGGGGAACCUGCGGUUGGAUCACCUCCUUACCUGAAAGAAGC